rnacentral:rRNA from 1 species
AACGAACGCUGGCGGCAGGCUUAACACAUGCAAGUCGAGCGCCCCGCAAGGGGAGCGGCAGACGGGUGAGUAACGCGUGGGAACGUACCCUUUGCUACGGAAUAGCUCCGGGAAACUGGAAUUAAUACCGUAUGUGCCCUACGGGGGAAAGAUUUAUCGGCAAAGGAUCGGCCCGCGUUGGAUUAGCUAGUUGGUGGGGUAAUGGCCUACCAAGGCGACGAUCCAUAGCUGAUCGGAGAGGAUGAUCAGCCACAUUGGGACAGAGACACGGCCCAAACUCCUACGGGGGGCAGCAGUGGGGAAUAUUGGACAAUGGGCGCAAGCUUGAUCCAGCCAUGCCGCGUGAGUGAUGAAGGCCUUAGGGUUGUAAAGCUCUUUCACCGGAGAAGAUAAUGACGGUAUCCGGAAAAGAAGCCCCGGCUAACUUCGUGCCAGCCGCCGCCGUAAUAC